UACGUAGGGUGCAAGCGUUGUCCGGAAUUAUUGGGCGUAAAGAGCUCGUAGGCGGUCUGUCGCGUCGGAUGUGAAAACCCAGGGCUCAACCCUGGGCCUGCAUUCGAUAUGGGCAGACUAGAGUUCGGUAGGGGAGACUGGAAUUCCUGGUGUAGCGGUGAAAUGCGCAGAUAUUAGGAGGAACACCGGUGGCGAAGGCGGGUCUCUGGGCCGAAACUGACGCUGAGGAGCGAAAGCGUGGGGAGCAAACAGG
rnacentral:rRNA from 1 species